rnacentral:tRNA from 1 species
GCCAUUAGUUGGGGGGUAUAACCCUCGGCUGGUAACCGAGUGGGUUCGGGUUCGAAUCCCGAGAAAGACA